rnacentral:rRNA from 1 species
CACGUAGGGUGCGAGCGUUGUCCGGAAUUAUUGGGCGUAAAGAGCUCGUAGGCGGUGUGUCACGUCGGCCGUGAAAACCUGCAGCUUAACUGUGGGCGUGCGGUCGAUACGGGCAUCACUGGAGUUCGGCAGGGGAGACUGGAAUUCCUGGUGUAGCGGUGAAAUGCGCAGAUAUCAGGAGGAACACCGGUGGCGAAGGCGGGUCUCUGGGCCGAUACUGACGCUGGAGGAGCGGAAAGCGUGGGGAGCAAACAGG